rnacentral:lncRNA from 1 species
AUGGGGCACCCAGGCAGAGGUGAGCCGACCGGCUUGGCGGGGUCUGAGACUGCCCAAGCGCAAACAGGGCUUCGAACUCUGAAUUCACGGGCUAGUCUGGAAAUGCCAGUACCUGGGAAACUCGAACUUGGCUUUUCAGCGCCGCUUUUCCCUGUAUCCCCUCCAUCCCUCUGGCUGCCACCGUCCUCCCUCUGGACCCCGUGGUCAGGCUCGCUGCAGAGCCCCGUGGACCCCGCCGGGCUGAGCGGUCCACACCUCGGUCAGCCCUCUUGGAAGGACUGCCCCAGCCAUGUUAUAAAAGGAGGAAAUGUCACAGUGGGCAGACCCCACUCCUGCGUUAUAGACAGGAAACUCAGGCGUACAGUUUCUCUAAUUCCAAGUUCGACGUUACUACCUGCUUCUCAAAUGAGUAAUUGGCAGCCUCAAUUCUCUGCAGAGGGGAUGCAGAAUAGCAGAGUAUCUGUGAUACAACUUUCGGGAACAUCAAUUUUACUACAAGAUUUAUAACAAAUGGAGUUAAGUAACUUCCAAGUUUCUGAGAGUACAGACAUGAAAGUCCUGCUCAUAAUCUGAUCAUGGGUGAAGACAGCUUGAUUGAAAAUGGAGCCAACAUAAAAGGAAGCAGAGACAACAGGCAAGUAGAAGAAACCCAUUCUUAUAAUAGAAUUUCAGCUAUAGAAUUCACCCAUUUCCAAUCUAUUUUACCAUCUUUUAUCUUAUUCAUUUUAUAUUAUAGCCUUUGUACAUUUAUUUAAAUAAUAUAAUGAAUACCUGUAAACUUACUACCAUCCUAAGAUGGUACCUGCCUACCACUGCCAAUAAUUAAAUUCUUAGCCUUUUCCAUAUCCUGCCCCCUGCCUUACCCUAAAGAUAACCAAUAUCCUGACUUUUUAAUUGUACAAUUAUCUUGCUUCCUAAAAAUAAAGUAUCUUUAUUACACA